rnacentral:rRNA from 1 species
GGGCAUGCGCAGCUACACAUGCAGUCGAGCGGUAACAGGAAGAAGCUUGCUUCUUUGCUGACGAGCGGCGGACGGGUGAGUAAUACUUGGGAACUUGCCUUUAGGAGGGGGAUAACCGCUGGAAACGGUGGCUAAUACCGCAUAAUGUCUACGGACCAAAGCAGGGGCUCUUCGGACCUUGCACCUAAAGAUAGGCCCAAGCGAGAUUAGCUAGUUGGUGGGGUAAAGGCCCACCAAGGCGACGAUCUCUAGCUGUUCUGAGAGGAUGAUCAGCCACACUGGGACUGAGACACGGCCCAGACUCCUACGGGAGGCAGCAGUGGGGAAUAUUGCACAAUGGGGGAAACCCUGAUGCAGCCAUGCCGCGUGUGUGAAGAAGGCCUUCGGGUUGUAAAGCACUUUCAGUGGUGAGGAAGGCCGUAAGAUUAAUACUCUUGCGGAUUGACGUUAACCACAGAAGAAGCACCGGCUAACUCCGUGCCAGCAGCCGCGGUAAU